GAUGAACGCUGGCGGCGUGCCUAAUACAUGCAAGUCGAGCGAACGGACGAGAAGUUUGCUCCUCUGAUGUUAGCGGCGGAGGGGUGAGUAACAUGUGGAUAACCUACCUAUAAGACUGGGAUAACUUCGGGAAACCGGAGCUAAUACCGGAUAAUAUUUUGAACAGCAUGGUUCAAGAGUGAAAGAAGGUCUUGCUGUGACUUAUAGAUGGAUCCGCGCUGCAUUAGCUAGUUGGUAAGGUAGAGGCUUACCAAGGCUACGAUGCAUAGCCGACCUGAGAGGGUCAUCGGCUACACUGGAACUGAGACACGGCACAGACUCUUACGGGAGGAAGCAGUCGGGAAUCUUCCGCAAUGGGGCAGAUCCUGAUGUAGCAAAGCCGCGUGAGUGAUGAAGGUCUUAGGAUCGUAAAGUUCUGUUAUCAGGGAAGAACUUAUGUGUAAGUAACUGUGCUCAUCUUGACGGUACCUAAACAGAAAGCCACGGCUAACUACGUG
rnacentral:rRNA from 1 species